rnacentral:rRNA from 1 species
UACGGAGGGGGCGAGCGUUGUUCGGAAUUACUGGGCGUAAAGGGCGCGUAGGCGGUCCGUUGCGUCGGGUGUGAAAGCCCCGGGCUCAACCUGGGAACGGCACUCGAUACGGGCGGGCUCGAAUCCGGAAGAGGAGGGUGGAAUUCCCAGUGUAGAGGUGAAAUUCGUAGAUAUUGGGAAGAACACCAAUGGCGAAGGCAGCCCUCUGGUCCGGCAUUGACGCUGAGGCGCGAAAGCGUGGGGAGCAAACAGG